GGUUUUUGGGUUUUAUCAAAAAUCAGGCCUGCUCAAUGAAUAAUAAAUAGCCGCGGUAUUAUGACCGUGCAAAGGUAGCAUAAUAAUUAGUCUUUUAAUUGAGGACUGGAAUGAAUGGUUUAACUAAAUAUUUUUGUCUUAUGUUUAUAUUUCUAAUUUUAUAUUUUAAUAAAAAAGUUAAAAUAAUUUUAGGGGACGAGAAGACCCUAUCAAGCUUUAUAAUUAUUUAUUUAUCUUUCAAAUUAAAUAAAAAAUUAUUUAACUGGGGCAGUGGAUAAUAAAAAUAUUAUUUAUAUAUUGUAGAAUUUUACUUAGGAAGAUCAAAAAUUUUUUAAAAAAUAAUAAGUUACUGUAGGGAUAACAGCAUAAUUUUUUUUAAGAGUUCUUAUCAUCAAAAAAGUUUGUGACCUCGAUGUUGGAUUAAGAUUCCUAGAUUGCGCAGCAGCAUUAAAUAGGAAGUCUGUUCGACUUUUAAAAUCUUCCA
rnacentral:rRNA from 1 species